UCUUGUAAUUUGUGAGGCAGGCUCCUGAGGAAUGCAGUGCUGCUUUCUGUCUUGUUAUCACAUUUCCUUGGAGGAGAGCCCAGCCUUGGUGGAGAGCCCUGCUCUGGCUUUGUCCCUCGGCAUGAGAUGGCAGAGGAUGGUGCUGCUGGGAGACCCUCACGUCUGCACACUGGGGGCUGCUUGCCUUCUCCAUUCCUCCUUCAAGUAUCUGAGCAGCUCCUGUGUGCCAGCUGCUGGUCUACAAGAUGGAUGGGUCCUUGGAGAUCACGCUG
ensembl:lncRNA LINC00937 long intergenic non-protein coding RNA 937